rnacentral:lncRNA from 1 species
CCAUCAGAAAUCAGAACGAUCAUGUUUCUUCUGCCCUUGAUAAUUUACACGUACGGCACAUUCGUACUCUCAUACUUUUCCCCGGUAAAAUUCACACAGCACAUGAUGCUGCAUCGCGCGCAUCGCACGCAGCUGAUCCAUCAACAGCCGACGGCGGCGGACGGGCAAUCAACGGCCAGCUCACAGGCUGGGCACCCUCUCGGCGGCGCCGGAGAUGACGGUGAGCAGGUUGUUGCCGAAGGGGUCGCUGAGGUGCGCGCACAGGUUCUCAAAGGGGCCCUCGCCGGUGACGUAGGCCUGGAUGAAGAAGCCCAGCAUGGAGAACAUGGCCAGCCGUCCGUUCUUGAUCUCCUUCACCUUGAGCAG